GACGAACGCUGGCGGCGUGCCUAAUACAUGCAAGUAGGACGCAGUUGCGAACGGGUGAGUAACGCGUCGGUCACUACCUAUUAGAGGGGGAUAACUAUUGGAACCGAUAGCUAAUACCGCAUACUAGUAGAUGGACCUGCGUUGUAUUAGCUAGUAGGUAGGGUAAUGGCCUACCUAGGCAACGAUACAUAGCCUACUUGGGAGGGGUGACGACCACACUUGGACUGGGACACGGCCCAGACUCCUAAGGGAGGGAGCAGUAGGGGAUCAUGGGCAAUGGGGGGAAAGCUGAACGAGCAACGGCGGGUGAGUGGAGAAGGGUUUUGGGUCGGAAAGCUCUGUUGUGAAGGAAGCGGUACUUAACCAGAAAGGGACGGCUAACUACGUGCCAGCAGCCGCGGUAAUUC
rnacentral:rRNA from 1 species